AGUUUGGAUGGAAGCAGAGGUUAGCGUCACGGCGUGUGUUGUUCCGCGGUGUAGCUCUUCUCACACGGGAGUGGUGAUGUUUUUCGUGAAAGGACGGUGGUAAUGGUGACUGCGGUGGUUAUCGAGGGGAAUGAGAUGUUGCUCGUCAGUCUCGCGAUGUUUGUACGUCCCAAGAAGUAAGUACCUUUUAUAAUGCAAUGACGUGAGAGAAGUGCCUAUUGUGUAAUGGUGUUGCGUGCGGGAGCUAACUAUCUUGUAUGACUGCAAUUACGUGCAGGAAGUGCCUCGUGUGAUGCGAUUACGUGCGGGAAGUGCCUCGUGUGAUGCAAUUACGUGCGGGAAGUGCCUCGUGUGAUGCGAUUACGUGCGGGAAGUGCCUCGUGUGAUGCGAUUACGUGCGGGAAGUGCCUCGUGUGAUGCGAUUACGUGCGGGAAGCGCCUCGUGUGAUGCAGGAGGGCGUAAUGGAAGUGGUGGUGGUUAGUGUGUUCCAGCUCCUUGACACCACCGAAAAGUGUGUCGAGGUGUUUCUCGGUCACCGCCUUCUCACACUUCGUUGGAUUGGUAAGUACAAAAAUACAGCACAUCGCGGGACUUCGUGGGACAUCGCGGGAGCAUCUCAACGAAAAAGCUAAGGAAGAAUGCAUGUUUCAUAGGGCACUAGGAAGAUAGGUUGCUAGGUUGCUAACCCCACAUUGCCUUCCAGGAACAAUUAAUGGGCUAAGCCAUAUUGCCUUUCAGGAACAACUAAUUGAAUAGACAUUUUUCAGAGUAGUACCCAGUAAAAUACAAGAAAGGCAAUGGCGUGGAAAUAUAUUCGCAGUAUGGAGUGGCAAUGGCUGUGGAGUUAAAGCACUGCAGGAGUUGUAGAGUAUCAUGAACAUUACCAAGAUUAUUUGUAAACACCGCAGCAUUUGUGCAAGCUCAAGAAGGGAAAGAAAUUAGUCACAGCAGCUUUAAAAAGGAGCUCUGGAAACUGCAACCCUGGAAUUAUGGCAGCCAUUGUUAAAGGUUGGUAAAAAGUGUUUUCUGGUCGGUAAUCCCUUCCCUCCAGCAGGACACUAACCCCUUCUCUCCUACAGGAUGCUAACCCCUUCUCUCCUACAGGAUGCUAACCCCUUCUCUCCUACAGGAUGCUAACCCUUCUCUCCUACAGGAUGCUAACCCCUUCUCUCCUACAGGAUGCUAACCCCUUCUCUCCUACAGGAUGCUAACCCCUUCUCUCCUACAGGAUGCUAACCCCUUCUCUCCUACAGGAUGCUAACCCCUUCUCUCCUACAGGAUGCUAACCCCUUCUCUCCUACAGGAUGCUAACCCCUUCUCUCUUACAGGAUGCUAACCCCUUCUCUCCUACAGGAUGCUAACC
rnacentral:lncRNA from 1 species